rnacentral:tRNA from 1 species
GUGGCAGUAGCUCAAUGGUAGAGCGCUGGGUUGUGGUCCCAGUGGUUGCGGGUCCGAGUCCCGUCUGCCACCCCA